rnacentral:rRNA from 1 species
AUUGAACGCUGGCGGCAGGCCUAACACAUGCAAGUCGAACGAGUGGCGGACGGGUGAGUAAUGUCUGGGAAACUGCCUGAUGGAGGGGGAUAACUACUGGAAACGGUAGCUAAUACCGCAUACCAUCAGAUGUGCCCAGAUGGGAUUAGCUAGUUGGUGGGGUAAAGGCUCACCAAGGCGACGAUCCCUAGCUGGUCUGAGAGGAUGACCAGCCAACAUGGAACGGAGACACGGUCCAGAAUCCUACGGGAGGGAGCAGGGGGGAAUAUUGCACAAGGGGCGCAAGGCUGAAUGCGCCAUGGCGCGGGUAUGAAGGAGGGCUUGCGGUUGGAAAGUACUUUCAGCGGGGAGGCGGUACCCGCAGAAGAAGCACCGGCUAACUCCGUGCCAGCAGCCGCGGUAAUUC